rnacentral:tRNA from 1 species
GGGCGAUUAGCUCAGUUUGGUAGAGCAGCUGACUCUUAAUCAGCGGGUCACAGGUUCGAGCCCUGUAUCGCCCA